rnacentral:rRNA from 1 species
GUGAAAAGCACUUCGAACAGAAGAGUGAAAUAGUCCCUGAACCCAUACGCCUACAAGCAGUCGGAGCCGCUUCGUGCGGUGACGGCGUGCCUUUUGCAUAAUGAGCCUACGAGUUACUCAUCACCAGCGAGGUUAAGUACUUCAGGUACGUAAGCCGAAGCGAAAGCGAGUCUGAAUAGGGCGUCAAGUUGGUGGUGGUAGACGCGAAACCUUAGUGAUCUACCCAUGGGCAGGGUGAAGGUUUGGUAACACAAACUGGAGGCCCGAACCGGUAAACGUUGAAAAGUUUUCGGAUGACCUGUGGGUAGGGGUGAAAGGCCAAUCAAACUGGGAAAUAGCUCGUACUCUCCGAAAUGCAUUUAGGUGCAGCCUCUGUUGUUUUGUUCUAGAGGUAGAGCUACUGAUUGGAUGCGAGGGCUUCACCGCCUAUCAAAUCCGGCCAAACUCCGAAUGCUAGAACAUGAAGACAGGGAGUGAGCCAGCGGGUGCUAAGGUCCGUUGACGAAAGAGGGAGAACUCAGACCAUCAGCUAAGGUCCCCAAUUAUAUGCUAAGUUGGAAUAAAAACGGGGUGGGACUGCUUAGACAGCUAGGAUGUUGGCUUGGAAGCAGCCAUUCAUUUAAAGAGUGCGUAACAGCUCACUAGUCGAGCGGUCCUGCAUGGAUAAUACGCGGGCAUAAGCAUAUAACCGAAGCUAUGGGAUUGUAGAUGAUACAAUCGGUAGGAGAGCAUUCCAUUCAGCAUAGAAGCAGUACCGUGAGGUAUUGUGGAGCGGAUGGAAAAGCAAAUGUAGGCAUAAGUAACGAUAAUGCGGGUGAGAACCCCGCACGCCGAAAGAUCAAGGAUUCCCCGGCAAUGUCAAUCAUCCGGGGGUAAGUCGGAUCCUAAGGGUAAGCCGAGUGGCGAUCCCGAUGGCAAACAGGUUAAUAUUCCUGUACUGAUCAUAACUGCGAUGCAGCGACGCAGAGGUGACACUGCUGCGUACUGACGGAAUAGUACGUUGAAACCCGUAUUCUUUGAUACCGGUAGUGAAGCACGCCGGUAGAGAUGAAAGGUGAUAGUACCGCAAUGCUUCGGUUGCGCGGAUAACGCAGGUAAGCUGACUGCCAAGAAAACCUGCUAAGCUUCAGGUAAUGAUCAUCCGUACUGUAAACGGACACACGUGAUCAGGUAGAAAAUACUAAGGCGCUCGAGAGAUUCAUGGUUAAGGAACUAGGCAAAAUGGUCCUGUAACUUCGGGAUAAAGGACGCUCUUGUGAAAGAGCCGCAGAUAAUAGGCCCAGGCGACUGUUUACCAAAAACACAUGGCUAUGCUAAUUCGCAAGAAGAUGUAUAUGGCCUGACACCUGCCCGGUGCCGGAAGGUUAAGAGGAGAGCUCAGAGGUAACUCGAAGGUUUGAAUUGAAGCCCCGGUAAACGGCGGCCGUAACUAUAACGGUCCUAAGGUAGCGAAAUUCCUUGUCGGGUAAGUUCCGACCUGCACGAAUGGUGUAACGAUCUGGGUACUGUCUCAACCAUGAGCUCGGUGAAAUUGUAGUUCCGGUGAAGAUGCCGGAUACCCGCAACGGGACGGAAAGACCCCGUGAACCUUUACUGCAGCUUUGCAUUGAUUUUGGGUAACAGAUGUGUAGGAUAGGUCGGAGGCUUUGAUGCUGCGUCGUCAGGCGUAGAGUAGCCGUCGUUGAAAUACGACCCUUUUGUUAUCUGAGGUCUAACCCGUUAGGGAGACAUUGCAUGGUGGGUAGUUUGACUGGGGUGGUCGCCUCCAAAAGUGUAACGGAGGCUUCUCAAGGUACCCUCAAGGCGUUUGGUAAUCGUCUGCAGAGUGCAAUGGCAUAAGGGUGCUUGACUGUGAGACCGACACGUCGAUCAGGUUGGAAACA